ensembl:rRNA 5S_rRNA 5S ribosomal RNA
GACAGCAGCCAUAUCACCCUGCAACUCACAACUGGCAACCCACUGAAGCUAAGCAGGUGUGACCCUGGUCAGUACCUGGAUGGGAGACCUCCUGGGAAAAACUAAGGUUGCUGCUGGAA